GUAAGUGGCAAGCGUUGUCCGGAAUUAUUGGGCGUAAAGCGCGCGCAGGCGGUUCUUUAAGUCUGAUGUGAAAGCCCACGGCCCAACCGUGGAGGGUCAUUGGAAACUGGAGAACUUGAGUACAGAAGAGGAAAGCGGAAUUCCACGUGUAGCGGUGAAAUGCGUAGAGAUGUGGAGGAACACCAGUGGCGAAGGCGGCUUUCUGGUCUGUAACUGACGCUGAGGCGCGAAAGCGUGGGGAGCAAACAGGGAUUAGAUACCCUGGUAGUCCACGCCGUAAACGAUGAGUGCUAAGUGUUAGGGGGUUUCCGCCCCCCUUAGUGCAGCAGCUAACGCAUUAAGCACUCCGGCCUGGGGAGUACCGGCCGCAAGGCUG
rnacentral:rRNA from 1 species